rnacentral:rRNA from 1 species
CCUACGGGAGGCAGCAGUGAGGAAUAUUGGUCAAUGGGCGCGAGCCUGAACCAGCCAAGUCGCGUGAGGGAGGACGGCCCUACGGGUUGUAAACUUCUUUUGCCGGGGAGCAACGGGCGUCACGUGUGGCGCCACUGAGAGUACCCGGAGAUAAAGCAUCGGCUAACUCCGUGCCAGAAGCGGCGGUAAUAGGGAGGAUGCGAGCGUUAUCCGGUUUCAUUGGGUUUAAAGGGUGCGUGGGCGGAUCGUUAAGUCAGUGGUCAAAUUGGGGGGCCAAACCCCUUCCCGCCAUUGAAACUGGCGCUCUUGAGUGGAAGAGAGGUAUGCGGAAUGCGUGGUGUAGCGGUGAAAUGCAUAGAUAGCACGCAGAACCCCGAUUGCGAAGGCAGCAUGCCGGCUUCCGACUGACGCUGAAGCACGAAAGCGUGGGGAUCGAACAGGAUUAGAUACCCUAGUAGUC